rnacentral:rRNA from 1 species
UACGUAGGGUGCAAGCGUUAAUCGGAAUUACUGGGCGUAAAGCGUGCGCAGGCGGUUCGCUAAGACAGAUGUGAAAUCCCCGGGCUUAACCUGGGGACUGCAUUUGUGACUGGCGGGCUAGAGUAUGGCAGAGGGGGGUAGAAUUCCACGUGUAGCAGUGAAAUGCGUAGAGAUGUGGAGGAAUACCGAUGGCGAAGGCAGCCCCCUGGGCCAAUACUGACGCUCAUGCACGAAAGCGUGGGGAGCAAACAGG